GACGAACGCUGGCGGCGUGCUUAACACAUGCAAGUCGAACGGAAAGGCCCUGCUUUGGUGGGGUGCUCGAGUGGCGAACGGGGGAGUAACACGUGAGUAACCUGCCCUUGACUGAGGGAUAACUUCAGGAAACUGGGGCUAAUACCGGAUAGGAGCUACUGCUGCAUGGUGGGGGUUGGAAAGUUUCGGCGGUUGGGGAUGGACUGGCGGCUUAUCAGCUUGUUGGUGGGGUAGUGGCUUACCAAGGCUUUGACGGGUAGCCGGCCUGAGAGGGUGACCGGCCACAUUGGGACUGAGAUACGGCCCAGACUCCUACGGGAGGCAGCAGUGGGGAAUAUUGCACAAUGGGCGGAAGCCUGAUGCAGCAACGCCGCGUGCGGGAUGACGGCCUUCGGGUUGUAAACCGCUUUCGCCUGUGACGAAGCGUGAGUGACGGUAAUGGGUAAAGAAGCACCGGCUAACUACGUG
rnacentral:rRNA from 1 species